rnacentral:rRNA from 1 species
GUAGAAAUUCCGUAGCCUCUAUCAAUUUAAACACAGGGACACUUUUGAAGGGUUCAGCCGGGCGAUGGUUGCCCCGGUCGUAAGGGACUGCAAAUGAGCGGGAAGUGAAUUUGGAAGAAGGCGAGAAAAGCUGUGUGAAUAGAAGAUAGAGCCCGUACCGCAAACCGACACAGGUAGAUAGGAAGAAGAUUCUAAGGCCAACGGGAGAAGGGUUGUUAAGGAACUCGGCAAGUUGACCCCGUAACUUAGGGAGAAGGGGUGCUCUUUAAGGAGAGCCGCAGAGAAUAGGCCCAAGCGACUGUUUAGCAAAAACACAGCUCUAUGCUAAAUCGAAAGAUGACGUAUAUGGGGUGACACCUGCCCGGUGCCGGAAGGUUAAGAGGAGGAGUGAGAGCUCUGAAUUGAAGCCCCGGUAAACGGCGGCCGUAACGAUAACGGUCCUAAGGUAGCGAAAUUCCUUGUCAGGUAAAUUCUGACCCGCACGAAUGGUGUAACGAUUUGGGCACUGUCUCAACAACCUGCCCGGCGAAAUUGUAGUACCGGUGAAGAUGCCGGUUACCCGCGACUAGACGGAAAGACCCCAUGGAGCUUUACUGCAGCUUAAUAUUGAAUUUCGGUAUUUCAUGUACAGGAUAGGUGGGAGACAGGGAACCAUAGGCGUCAGCUUAUGGGGAGUCGACCUUGUGAUACCACUCUUGAGGUGCUGGAAUUCUAACCUGUGGCUCUGAAUCGAGUCAGGGGACAUUGUUAGGCGGGCAGUUUGACUGGGGCGGUCGCCUCCAAAAAGGUAACGGAGGCGCUCAAAGGUUCGCUCAGCAUGGAUGGAAACCAUGCUUUUGAGUGUAAACGCAAAAGCGAGCCUAACUGCGAGACUGACGGGUCGAGCAGUAACGAAAGUUGGAGUUAGUGAUCCGGCGGUAUGUGAGUGGAAAUGCCGUCGCUCAACGGAUAAAAGCUACCCUGGGGAUAACAGGCUGAUCUCCCCCAAGAGUCCACAUCGACGGGGAGGUUUGGCACCUCGAUGUCGGCUCAUCGCAUCCUGGGGCUGAAUUCGGUCCCAAGGGUUUGGCUGUUCGCCAAUUAAAGCGGUACGCGAGCUGGGUUCAGAACGUCGUGAGACAGUUCGGUCCCUAUCUGUCGUGGGCGUAGGAUAUUUGAAAGGAGCUGUCCCUAGUACGAGAGGACCGGGAUGGACGCACCGCUGGUGCACCAGUUGUCAUGCCAAUGGCACAGCUGGGCAGCUAUGUGCGGAACGGAUAAACGCUGAAGGCAUCUAAGCGUGAAGCCGACCUUAAGAUAAGAUAUCCCUUCGUAAGAGUAAGACCUCUCAUAGACUAUGAGUUUGAUAGGCCUAAGGUGUAAGCACAGUGAUGUGUUCAGCCUGCAGGUACUAAUCGGUCGAGGGCUUUCC